AGUGAACGCUGGCGGUAGGCCUAACACAUGCAAGUCGAACGGCAGCACAGAGGAGCUUGCUCCUUGGGUGGCGAGUGGCGGACGGGUGAGGAAUACAUCGGAAUCUACUCUGUCGUGGGGGAUAACGUAGGGAAACUUACGCUAAUACCGCAUACGACCUACGGGUGAAAGCAGGGGACCUUCGGGCCUUGCGCGAUUGAAUGAGCCGAUGUGGGAUUAGCUAGUUGGCGGGGUAAAGGCCCACCAAGGCGACGAUCCGUAGCUGGUCUGAGAGGAUGAUCAGCCACACUGGAACUGAGACACGGUCCAGACUCCUACGGGAGGCAGCAGUGGGGAAUAUUGGACAAUGGGCGCAAGCCUGAUCCAGCCAUACCGCGUGGGUGAAGAAGGCUUUCGGGUUGUAAAGCCCUUUUGUUGGGAAAGAAAUCCAGCUGGCUAAUACCCGGUUGGGAUGACGGUACCCAAAGAAUAAGCACCGGCUAACUUCGUGCCAGCAGCCGCAGUAA
rnacentral:rRNA from 1 species